GAUCCUGGCUCAGGAUGAACGCUGGCGGCGUGCUUAACACAUGCAAGUCGAGCGAAGCACUCUGCUUUGAUUCUUUCGGGAUGAAGAGCAUUGUGACUGAGCGGCGGACGGGUGAGGUAACGCGUGGGUAACCUGCCUCAUACAGGGGGAUAACAGUUAGAAAUGGCUGCUAAUACCGCAUAAGACCACAGCACCGCAUGGUGCAGGGUAAAACUACCGU
rnacentral:rRNA from 1 species